AGAGCGAACGCUGGCGGCAGGCUUAACACAUGCAAGUCGAGCGGGCGUAGCAAUACGUCAGCGGCAGACGGGUGAGUAACGCGUGGGAACAUACCUUUGGUUCGGAACAACACAGGGAAACUUGUGCUAAUACCGAAUAAGCCCUUACGGGGAAAGAUUUAUCGCCGAAAGAUUGGCCCGCGUCUGAUUAGCUUGUUGGUGAGGUAACGGCUCACCAAGGCGACGAUCAGUAGCUGGUCUGAGAGGAUGAUCAGCCACAUUGGGACUGAGACACGGCCCAAACUCCUACGGGAGGCAGCAGUGGGGAAUAUUGGACAAUGGGCGCAAGCCUGGAUCCAGCCAUGCCGCGUGAGUGAUGAAGGCCCUAGGGUUGUAAAGCUCUUUUGUGCGGGAAGAUAAUGACGGUACCGCAAGAAUAAGCCCCGGCUAACUUCGUGCCAGCAGCCGC
rnacentral:rRNA from 1 species